rnacentral:rRNA from 1 species
GUCUCUUUGGUUGGUUUAUAUAGAGAGUCGGGCCUGCUCGGUGAUAUAUUUAUUUAACAGCUGCGGUAUUUUAACUGUACUAAGGUAGCAUAAUAAUUUGCCUUAUAAAUUAAGGCUAGAAUGAAUGGUUUGACGAAAGUUGAUCUGUCUCUUAUUUAUUUUUUAAAAAUUAAUUUUUAAAGUGAAAAAGCUUGGAUUAUUUAAAGGGACGAGAAGACCCUAUUGAGCUUUAUUGUUUAUUUACGUAAAGUAUAUUUUAUGUAAUUUUAAGCAGAUUUGAUUGGGGUGAUCAAGGAAUAAAAUUACAUUUAACUUCCUUAUAGAUGUUAUAUUAAUUUGUUAAUUAACCAGUAUUACUGCUUUUAUGAAAAAGUUACCAUAGGGAUAACAGCGUAAUUUUUUUUGAGAGUUCUUAUUGAAAAAAAAGAUUGCGACCUCGAUGUUGGAUUAAAAUUACCUUAGGGUGUAGAAGCUCUAUUUGGUAAAUCUGUUCGAUUUUUAAAAUUUUACA